GUUAGAGCAACUGCGAGCAACCAACAUGAAGACCAUUGUGCUGCUACUGGUGGUGCUGGCGCUGGUGGGCGCUGCUCUGGCCAACCCUUUCCCUCUGCCACGACCCCAGGAAGGCGCUGCUCGUGAGGCACUGCGUCCCAGCGAGCAGUACUACUACCCGGGCUACUAUGGAUACCUCUACGGCUGAGCAGGCAGACACUGUGACGGAUGCUAAUGACCACGUCGGAUUUUGGCUACAGUUCAUCUGUUUCAAUCCACAGACACCUUUUGGCAAAUCGUAUGAAAUAAAUUUUUUUUCUCUGCUUUA
rnacentral:lncRNA from 1 species